rnacentral:rRNA from 1 species
AACGAACGCUGGCGGCAGGCUUAACACAUGCAAGUCGAGCGCAUCCUUCGGGGUGAGCGGCAGACGGGUGAGUAACACGUGGGAAUCUACCCAACCCUACGGAAUAGCUCCGGGAAACUGGAAUUAAUACCGUAUACGCCCUUAGGGGGAAAGAUUUAUCGGGGAUGGAUGAGCCCGCGUUGGAUUAGCUAGUUGGUGGGGUAAGGCCUACCAAGGCGACGAUCCAUAGCUGGUCUGAGAGGAUGAUCAGCCACAUUGGGACUGAGACACGGCCCAAACUCCUACGGGAGGCAGCAGUGGGGAAUAUUGGACAAUGGGCGCAAGCCUGAUCCAGCCAUGCCGCGUGAGUGAUGAAGGCCUUAGGGUUGUAAAGCUCUUUCACCGGAGAAGAUAAUGACGGUAUCCGGAGAAGAAGCCCCGGCUAACUUCGUGCCAGCAGCCGCCGUAACAC